rnacentral:rRNA from 1 species
CAGCAGCGGCGGUAAUACGUAGGGUGCAAGCGUUAAUCGGAAUUACUGGGCGUAAAGCGUGCGCAGGCGGUUAUAUAAGACAGAUGUGAAAUCCCCGGGCUCAACCUGGGAACUGCAUUUGUGACUGUAUAGCUAGAGUGCGGCAGAGGGGGAUGGAAUUCCGCGUGUAGCAGUGAAAUGCGUAGAUAUGCGGAGGAACACCGAUGGCGAAGGCAAUCCCCUGGGCCUGUACUGACGCUCAUGCACGAAAGCGUGGGGAGCAAACAGGAUUAGAGACCCCCGUAGUCCCUGUCUCUUAUAC